AUACCGCCAUGGGACGGGACUGCUUCCGAUCAGGUAGUAGGUGGGGUAAUGGCCCACCUAGCCUCUGACCGGUACGGGCCGUGAGAGCGAUAGCCCGGAGAUGGAUACUGAGACAACGAUCCAGGCCCUACGGGGUGCAGCAGUCGCGAAACCUGGCCAAUGAGCGCAAGCUUGAGCCGGCUAAACCGAGUGGGGUCCUAACGGGUCCCUUUUAACGAGUGUUAGUAGCUCGUUGAACAAGGAGAGGGCAAGACUGGUGCCAGCCGCCGCGGUAAAACCAGCUCUUCGAGUGGUGGGCGUGCUUACUGGGCCUAAAGCAUCCGUAGCCGGGUCUGCAAGUCCACAGUUAAAGCCCACGUCUUAAGCGUGGAAUCGCUGUGGAUACUACAGACCUUGGGAUCGGGAGAGGCGUGAGGUACGUUUCGGGUAGGGGUGAAAUCCGAUAAUCCGAAACGGACCACCGGUGGCGAANGCGUCACGCUAGAACGAGUCCGACGGUCANGGAUGAAAGCCAGGGGAGCGAGCCGGAUUAGAUACCCGGGUAGUCCUGGCUGUAAACGAUG
rnacentral:rRNA from 1 species